UCGGUAUAAAUUGAUUAUGAUUUACUUAUUAAAAUUUUGUUAGUUUAUUUUUAUUUUUAUUAAAAUUAAUUAUAUGUUGUUUUGAUUUAGUAAUUUAUAUAGAAUUAUUUAUUUUAAUUAUAGUUUAUUAGUAUAGUAUUAGAAUGUUGAAAUAUUUAUAAUAAUUUAUAUUUUAUAAGAAUUUUUAAGUUGAGGUACCUUUUGUAUCAGGGUUUAUUAAAUAAUAAAUAUAGAUUAUAUUUUUCCCGAUUUUGUGAGAGUUAAUUACUUACUAUAGUUAAUGUUGAAUGAUUAUUAUGAAUAGGUAAUUUGAAAUGAAAUGUUAUUCGUUUACAAAGGUAUCUGGUUUUUAAAUAAAUAAAUUUAAUUUAGUCUAUUUGAGGUGUUAAUUCUUAGUUUAAAGUUUAAUAAUUUAUUUAGAGUGAUAUUUUGCGGGAUAAGCUGUGGAAUAUAUUUCUAAAAUUGAUAAAUUUAUAUUUUAAAUUAUAUGCUUAAGAAUAGCAAUUGAUUACAAUUUUGUUAUAAUUUAUUAUGUUUUAAUUAAUAUUUAUUGUUUUUUAGAUUAUUUAUUUAAAUAUUUGUUUUAAUUUUGAAAAUUAAAUGAUAAUGAUAAAAUUAGUAUAAUUUGAUUUGUUUAGAAUUUAUUUGGUUGUUAGAUUUAAAAAAAUAACUCGGCAAUUUAAGUGUUCGCCUGUUUAACAAAAACAUGUCCUUUAGAAUUAAGUUUUAGGUCUGACCUGCCCAUUGAUUUAUUAAAAGGCCGCAGUAUCUUAACUGUGCAAAGGUAGCAUAAUCAUUAGUUUUUUAAUUGGAAACUGGAAUGAAAGGUUGGACUAAACACUGACUGUUUCUUUUAAAUGUUAUUAGAAUUUUAUUUUUUAGUUAAAAAGCUAAAAUUUAAUUUAAAGACGAGAAGACCCUAUAGAUCUUUAUAAUUAUUUAAUUUUUAUUGUUUGGAUUUAUUAAAUAAUAAUUAAUUAUAUUAUUUUGUUGGGGUGACAUGAAGUUUAAUUUAACUCUUUAUUUUUAUUACAUUGAUUUAUGGUUGAUUUGAUCCUUUAUUAAAGAUUAAAAAAUUAAGUUACCUUAGGGAUAACAGCGUAAUUUUUCUGGAGAGUUCUUAUCGAUAGAAGAGAUUGCGACCUCGAUGUUGGAUUAAGAGAUAUAACUGGGUGCAGAAGCUUGGUAAAAUUAGUCUGUUCGACUAUU
rnacentral:rRNA from 1 species